CACGUAGGGCGCAAGCGUUGUCCGGAAUUAUUGGGCGUAAAGAGCUCGUAGGCGGACUGUCACGUCUGCUGUGAAAAGCUGGGGCUUAACCCUGGCCUUGCAGUGGAUACGGGCAGACUAGAGGUAGGUAGGGGAGAAUGGAAUUCCCGGUGUAGCGGUGAAAUGCGCAGAUAUCGGGAGGAACACCGGUGGCGAAGGCGGUUCUCUGGGCCGAUACUGACGCUGAGGAGCGAAAGCGUGGGGAGCAAACAGG
rnacentral:rRNA from 1 species